ACGCUGGCGGCAGGCCUAACACAUGCAAGUCGAGCGGUAGCACGGGAGAGCUUGCUCUCUGGGUGACGAGCGGCGGACGGGUGAGUAAUGUCUGGGAAACUGCCUGAUGGAGGGGGAUAACUACUGGAAACGGUAGCUAAUACCGCAUGACCUCGCAAGAGCAAAGUGGGGGACCUUCGGGCCUCACGCCAUCGGAUGUGCCCAGAUGGGAUUAGCUAGUAGGUGGGGUAAUGGCUCACCUAGGCGACGAUCCCUAGCUGGUCUGAGAGGAUGACCAGCCACACUGGAACUGAGACACGGUCCAGACUCCUACGGGAGGCAGCAGUGGGGAAUAUUGCACAAUGGGCGCAAGCCUGAUGCAGCCAUGCCGCGUGUGUGAAGAAGGCCUUAGGGUUGUAAAGCACUUUCAGCGAGGAGGAAGGCGUUGUAGUUAAUAGCUGCAGCGACUGACGUUACUCGCAGAAGAAGCACCGGCUAACUCCGUGCCAGCAGCCGCGGUAAUACGGAGGGUGCAAGCGUUAAUCGGAAUUACUGGGCGUAAAGCGCACGCAGGCGGUUUGUUAAGUCAGAUGUGAAAUCCCCGAGCUUAACUUGGGAACUGCAUUUGAAACUGGCAAGCUAGAGUCUUGUAGAGGGGGGUAGAAUUCCAGGUGUAGCGGUGAAAUGCGUAGAGAUCUGGAGGAAUACCGGUGGCGAAGGCGGCCCCCUGGACAAAGACUGACGCUCAGGUGCGAAAGCGUGGGGAGCAAAC
rnacentral:rRNA from 1 species